rnacentral:rRNA from 1 species
UACGUAGGGGGCAAGCGUUGUCCGGAAUCAUUGGGCGUAAAGAGCGCGUAGGCGGUCCGGUAAGUCGGUUGUGAAAACUGGGGGCUCAACCCUCAGAGGCCGACCGAUACUGCUGGGCUAGAGUCCGGAAGAGGCGAGUGGAAUUCCGGGUGUAGCGGUGGAAUGCGUAGAGAUCCGGAAGAACACCGGUGGCGAAGGCGGCCUGCUGGGCAGUUGCUGACACUGAGGCGCGACAGCGUGGGGAGCAAACAGG